GAAAGCGAUUAAGUAUUUUCCACUCUCGCCUCGGUAAUUCAAAACCUUCAAGCCUCUUAUCUGGCGAAUCGAUCAGAUGUUUGUUCGUGAAAACCGAGCUUUCAUUCCAGUACCGUUUCCAGGCUGCCACAAUACCAUGAAAAGAUAUGAUAAGCUGUUCCGAAGA